rnacentral:lncRNA from 1 species
UAAUUUUCUUCAUUCUUGAUAUUAAUUUAGAUUUCAAUAUUUAUAUUUUAAAUUUGUUGUUUUAUUUCAGCUUCAAUGUUCAUUGAGGAUAACAAAAAAUGGGAAAUGAAAAUAUAGACAUACAUAGAUAUAGGAAGAUGUGGUGGGAGUGCCAAUGAGACUACUCUCAAAAAAGUAAACCAUAAGUCAAUGUACGGCCUUCAACACGGAGCCUUGGCUCACAACGAACAACAAGCUAUAAAGGGCCCUAAAAUUACUAGUGUAAAACCAUUCAAACUGGAAAACCAACGGUCUAAUCUAUAUAAAAUAAAAAAAAACGAGAAACGAGAAAGGCGUAUAAAUUACAUAAACAAACGACAACUACUGUACAUCAGAUUCCUGACUUAGGACAGGUGCAAACAUUUGCAGCGGGAUUAAACGUUUUAAUGGAUCAAAACCUUUUCCCUUUUUCUGAAACAAUAGCAUAACAUCACAACAUAGAAAAACACACGGUAAAAUAUCAAUUGGCAUGCUUAACUCAAUCAAAAAACGUACAAUAAUACACUAUAAACGAAUAGAUUUGAUCUGCGAUAUCUGAAUGCAAGUGCACAGUUAAUAAAAUAUUCAAUUACAAACAUUCAAGACCAAAAAGCAACCAAACAAGUCCAAACAAAGAUAUGGCAAGUCACCACUGCGAAAUAUUUAACCCUUCGAAAAUAUUC